CCUACGGGAGGCAGCAGUGAGGAAUAUUGGUCAAUGGGCGGGAGCCUGAACCAGCCAAGUCGCGUGAGGGAAGACGGUCCUAUGGAUUGUAAACCUCUUUAGGCGGGGAGCAAUGCCGGGCACGCGUGCCCGGAGGGAGAGUACCCGCAGAAUAAGCAUCGGCUAACUCCGUGCCAGCAGCCGCGGUAAUACGGAGGUCUCAAGCGUUGUUCGGAAUCACUGGGCGUAAAGCGUGCGUAGGCUGUUUCGUAAGUCGUGUGUGAAAGGCGCGGGCUCAACCCGCGGACGGCACAUGAUACUGCGAGACUAGAGUAAUGGAGGGGGAACCGGAAUUCUCGGUGUAGCAGUGAAAUGCGUAGAUAUCGAGAGGAACACUCGUGGCGAAGGCGACUAUCUGGCACAUAACUGACGCUGAGGAGCGAAAGCGUGGGUAGCAAACAGGAUUAGAUACCCCAGUAGUC
rnacentral:rRNA from 1 species